rnacentral:rRNA from 1 species
GAUGAACGCUGGCGGCGUGCCUAAUACAUGCAAGUCGAGCGAACAGAUGAGGAGCUUGCUCCUCUGACGUUAGCGGCGGACGGGUGAGUAGCACGUGGAUAACCUACCUAUAAGACUGGGAUAACUUCGGGACACCGGAGCUAAUCCCGGAUAAUAUAUUGAACCGCAUGGUUCAAUAGUGAAAGACGGUUUUGCUGUAUCUUAUAGAUGGAUCCGCGCCGCAUUAGCUAGUUGGUAAGGUAACGGCUUACCAAGGCAACGAUGCGUAGCCGACCUGAGAGGGUGGUCGGCCACACUGGAACUUAGACACGGUCCAUACUCCUACGGGAGGCAGCAGUAUGGAAUCUGCCGCAGUGGUCGAAAGCCUGACGGAGCAACGCCGCGUGAGUUAUGAAGGUCUUCGGAUCGUAAAACUCUGUUAUUAGGUAAGAACAAAUUUGUAAGUAACUAUGCACGUCUUGACGGUACCUAAUCAGAAAGCCACGGCUAACUACGUG